rnacentral:rRNA from 1 species
GACGAACGCUGGCGGCGUGCCUAAUACAUGCAAGUCGAACGCAUUUUCUUUCACCGUAGCUUGCUACACCGAAAGAAAAUGAGUGGCGAACGGGUGAGUAACACGUGGGUAACCUGCCCAUCAGCGGGGGAUAACACUUGGAAACAGGUGCUAAUACCGCAUAAUUCCAUUUACCGCAUGGUAAAUGGAUGAAAGGCGCUUUUGCGUCACUGAUGGAUGGACCCGCGGUGCAUUAGCUAGUUGGUGGGGUAACGACCUACCAAGGCUGCGAUGCAUAGCCGACCUGAGAGGGUGAUCGGCCACACUGGGACUGAGACACGGCCCAGACUCCUACGGGAGGCAGCAGUAGGGAAUCUUCGGCAAUGGACGCAAGUCUGACCGAGCAACGCCGCGUGAGUGAAGAAGGUUUUCGGAUUGUAAAACUCUGUUGUUAGAGAAGAACAAGGAUGAGAGUGGAAAGUUCAUCCCUUGACGGUAUCUAACCAGAAAGCCACGGCUAACUACGUG